rnacentral:rRNA from 1 species
CGCGUAGGCGGACUAGUAAGUCAUAAGUGAAAUUCCAAGGCUUAACCUUGGAACUGCUCGUGAAACUGCCAGUCUAGAGGUAAGGUGGAGAAAACGGAAUUCCCCAUGUAGCGGUGAAAUGCGUAGAUAUGGGGAGGAACACCGGUGGCGAAAGCGGUUUUCUAACUUUAAACUGACGCUGAGGCGCGAAAGCGAGGGGAGCAAACAGGAUUAGAUACCCUGGUAGUCC